rnacentral:rRNA from 1 species
GGCGAACGGGUGAGUAACACGUGAGCAACCUGCCCCCGACUCCGGGAUAAGCGGUGGAAACGCCGUCUAAUACCGGAUACGACCGGCCACCUCAUGGUGGCGGGUGGAAAGUUUUUCGGUCGGGGAUGGGCUCGCGGCCUAUCAGCUUGUUGGUGGGGUAAAGGCCUACCAAGGCGAUUACGGGUAGCCGGCCUGAGAGGGCGACCGGCCACACUGGGACUGAGACACGGCCCAGACUCCUGCGGGAGGCAGCAGUGGGGAAUAUUGCGCAAUGGGCGAAAGCCUGACGCAGCGACGCCGCGUGGGGGAUGACGGCCUUCGGGUUGUAAACCUCUUUUACCACCAACGCAGGCUCCCGGUUCUCCGGGGGUUGACGGUAGGUGGGGAAUAAGGACCGGCUAACUACGUGCCAGCAGCCGCGGUAAUACGUAGGGUCCGAGCGUUGUCCGGAAUUAUUGGGCGUAAAGAGCUCGUAGGCGGCGUGUCGCGUCUGCUGUGAAAGACCGGGGCUUAACUCCGGUUCUGCAGGUGGAUACGGGCAUGCUAGAGGUAGGUAGGGGAGACUGGAAUUCCUGGUGUAGCGGGUGAAAUGCGCAGAUAUCAGGAGGAACACCGGUGGGCGAAGGCGGGGUCUCUGGGGCCUUACCUGACGCUGGAGGAGCGAAAGCAUGGGGGAGGCGAAACAGGAUUAGAUACCCCU